UACGAGGGGGGCAAGCGUUGUUCGGAAUUAUUGGGCGUAAAGGGUGCGUAGGCGGUGCGGUAAGUCUGUUGUGAAAUCUCCGGGCUCAACUCGGAGUCUGCAUCAGAAACUGCCGUGCUAGAGUGUGGGAGAGGAAAGUGGAAUUCCUGGUGUAGCGGUGAAAUGCGUAGAUAUCAGGAGGAACACCGGUGGUGUAAACGGCUUUCUGGACCAUAACUGACGCUGAGGCACGAAAGCGUGGGUAGCAAACAGG
rnacentral:rRNA from 1 species